GUGACCCUACGGGACGCAGCAGUAGGGAAUCUUCGGCAAUGGGGGCAACCCUGAUGGUGCGACGCCGCGUGGGGGAAUGAAGGUCUUCGGAUUGUAAACCCCUGUCAUGUGGGAGCAAAUUAAAAAGAUAGUACCACAAGAGGAAGAGACGGCUAACUCUGUGCCAGCAGCCGCGGUAAUACAGAGGUCUCAAGCGUCGUUCGGAAUCACUGGGCGUAAAGCGUGCGUAGGCUGUUUCGUAAGUCGUGUGUGAAAGGCGCGGGCUCAACCCGCGGACGGCACAUGAUACUGCGAGACUAGAGUAA
rnacentral:rRNA from 1 species